rnacentral:rRNA from 1 species
CGAACCCUGAGCGACCCGAAAUCCCCUUUUUUAUCGUGCCGUCGGAGAGGAAGGACCCUGCUGUGCCGUGGCGGCGGUACUUAGGGCGGCGGUGCGCGCCGGCCAGAUGGAGAGGUCGAUGGGAGUUCGUCGCGGCGACAACGGGUCAAGAAGGGGAGGAGUGGGCGGGGUUGAGGAGUGGGGAUCGGAGGAAGCGGAGUUCCGCCUGCAGAGACUAAACCUAUACUAAGGUACCGCACAAGUGCGGCGGUGCGCGUCAGCCAGAAGGAGAGGUCGAUGGGAGGUCGUCACAGUAGCAACGGGACAAGAAGGGGAGGAGGGGGCGGGGUUGAGGAUUGGGGGUCGGAGGAGGCGGAGUCUCCGCCUGCUGAGGCUAAACCUCGAGUUCAUGAGGGAGGGGGCGUGGAGGUAGGGGUACAUGCAGGAGGGCAAUCCAAACAUGUUUAAAUUCUAGAUCUUAAUUUCCUAAGAUUCCAACUUAUCUUCCUCCCUGUCUUUCUUACCCAUCGUUAAACAAGCCCCUAAAGUAAAAAACACGGUUGGAGACUCUAGGGGAAGAGACGGUACCUAAACCUACGAACGUCUAAACCUAACCCCACGUUGUCUCUACUCCUUCCUGUUUCGUGCUUGUCGAGUUCACUCUCACUUGCCUAUACUCGUGUGUUGGGAGAGUCCACUGCAACCGACUAGUCCUAUGGGUUAAGAGUUUGUUUGUUGGACUCUACGAGAUCUAUACCUUCAAGUGGCGGUUCGAGCUGGUUGUUCAAAAAACCAAGUACAAGUUACCCUCCACUUCUCACAACUCGUCCAUAACUACGUCCAGGUUCCAUUUGAGAUAAAAAGAAGAAAAUAACACAAAUAAUCUACUUGUACAGUUUCCACGUCUACCUGUACUACUUCGGCACUUAACAGUGCGUCCAGUAACUCGAAGAACCCAAACUGUGUCGAGUGGGAGCAGAUGCUUUGCUUUUUAGAGCCGUACGGAUUUAUUUUCCCCAGCACCCAACGCUUAGUUUUUUUGGGCCAAUCAUAUUUAUUUCCUUUAAUACCCGAGACUUCGCUUUUUAAGAUCAACUGUAUUUAUUUCCCCUAACACCCGAUGCUUUGCUUAUAGAGUUAACUCGUCCUAACAACAUACGAUUUACUUUUUAUUUUCGCUGACCAGACACUUUGCUUUUUAUUCGUUUCCGGAGGGUCAACCGUAUUUAUUUGCCCGUGACCAACUUGUUGAAGUCAUAAAAUAUGAUUACGAUAAAAGUAAAUUUCCGACUUAAAACAGUGGGGCAACGUUGCGUGCUCGUAUACAGGAUCUUAUAUAAACCUUCCGUCUCAAGCACUUUUGUUUACAGUCAGGAAAAAAGAAGACUUUUCGAGAGAAGUAAGAAAAAGUGCAGAUAAGAAUAACGAACUCUUAACAACGCCAGGCAUGGUACAUAGGUGGCAAAGGAUUCCUCUCACAAGGAUACGAUUUUUGACAACAAAACAGGAGUAUCUAAAAACAAGAUACCCUAAACACGCCAGAUUUAUCAUGACAUAAAUCAAAAUACUUUCCUACGUUUUCGUUAUGAUCCCGAAGGUCACAUAUGACUAACGAUUUCCUACGUUAUCAUAAACACAUCACCCCUUCACAGUAAGGGAGACAAAUGGUUAACCGGAGGGGGAGAAUUCUCUAGAUUGGGAACAAUGGUAUUCCUUUUUCGUUUCUGAUAAUACUGUGGUAUUUCAAACUUAAGUCUCUUCAUAUACGACUUCUUGUGGUCUUAAUCAGAAGUACUUGGUAGUAGCGGAACAACUACUACGAAGUGUAUAUUCAAAAGACCAGGAAAUGUUCCAGAAGAUUAAUAAGUCUUCGCUACAGUUUACCAUGCAUGGUAAAAAUUAAAAUUAAAAGAACUUAACAAUUCAACUCUUGCCUACGAACGUAAAGGUAAACCCUUUUUCUCUCCUCUUUCACUACCUAACCUCGAAAGUGUCUUGUAAUAAUGACAGAUCUUUUAAGUACCGUUAUCCCGGUUACCAACUUGUAUAUUUAGAAAAACUUCAUUUAAGAAAACAUUGAGAGUCAGAGUCAUGAUGGAACAGCUAACUAUGAAUCUCCUGGUCUCCCUUUUUAGGUUUCGUUUCGGGAUGUGUACGUCGGGGACGGGUUUUCCUCGUUGACGUAAAACAGAUGUUACGUACAAACUGACUUUAAGGACAAAGAUAAAAAACGUCUCGCGAGUGUUUAAUUUGUUAGAUACUUUACCGAUCUUCCCUGACCUAUAGGAUGAACCAUACACCAAAAUCUUCGUUGAAUCCAAGGUCGAACGACACUUAAAAUACUAAAUAGUGACAAUAUGACAAUUGAUGAAUUGAACUAUGACUUUGUAACCUUGGUAUCAUAAACUUCACCUUAAGACUCGUCCGAAGUUGUUAAGUCAUUUCCGGAUACUUUGUAGAUACUAAAGUGAUCUCUCACCUAAACGUGAGCUCCUCGUUGAGCUCGUCGAAACGCGUGUACGGAUUUGGAUGAAAGUACAGCCACUACAAGUAUACACACAACAAGACAUAGUAAGAAAUGGAGAUCGUACACUAACAUUAGGUAAAAGUUUGAAAAAGAUUAUCUACGAGUAACUCGAAUAAAAGUACAUUUGCGUGUACAUGUAAGAGCCGUUUUUGUUUCUUUCACACCACACGAGCUGGAAGAGGGUCAGGUUGGAACUGGACCUUCGUACAGUUUGUUUUUGUGGUUUGAAAUGUGGUCGUAGUUCGGGGAUCUUUAUCAGAUAGUGGACAUAGAAACGCAUAGUGACUCUACCUCGGUCUUCUGUCAAAAAAAAUAGUCAAAUCCACAAUUGAGGAACACUGUCCAUGUACACUCAUAGUAACAACACAUCUCUCUUUUUAUAAGUCUAAUCUUUUGUAAAUCGAAUUCCACAUUGACCAUUGGUUAAUGAGAACCAGAGUGAUAAAAUAGAAAAACUACCUGUAAAAUGUAGAGAAAACUAAUGAUUCAGAAAAUAAAAGAUAAUAAAAAAGAAGGACAAGACUACAGUUGACUUUGUUCUUGUGCUCCGUGUAGUAAAACGAAGAUUGGGGUGUGUUA